rnacentral:rRNA from 1 species
CGCAUCUGUGCAUGCAGCAUAUCAAUAAGCGGAGGAAAAGGGCUAUGCGAAGAUUCUUAAAGAUGCUGGAGCUUCAGUGAUCUACCUUCAGUUUGAUGGCUGUAAUGAUGAUAUCUACAUGGCCAUGAGAGGUGAGCCUCUUCUUGAAAAGAAGAAGGAAGCGAUCAUGGAAUGCAGACGUGCAGGAAUACCUGUCACACUGGUACCUACGCUUAGGAUGUUGACGAGACUGUCGAUCUCAUCUAUACAUGACUCUGCGCAUAUCAAUAAGCGGAGGAAAAGAGGGCUAGUACCUACGCUUAGGAUGUUGACGAGACUGUCGAUCUCAUCUAUACAUGACUCUGUGCAUAUCAAUAAGCGGAGGAAAAGAAACUAACAAGGAUUCCCCUAGUAACGGCGAGUGAAGCGGGAAGAGCUCAAAUUUGAAAUCUUAAAGGGUUUCCCUUUACGAAUUGUAGUUUAAAGAAGUGUUUUCUGUUGAGGUUUUGGUAAAAGUUCUUUGGAAUAGGACAUCAUAGAGGGUGAGAAUCCCGUAUUUGACCUUUACUUUCAACUUUGUGAUACACUUUCAAAGAGUCGGAUUGUUUGGGAAUGCAGUCCAAAAUGGGUGGUAAAUUUCAUCUAAAGCUAAAUAUUGGCGAGAGACCGAUAGCGAACAAGUACCGUGAGGGAAAGACGAAAAGAACUUUGAAAAGAGAGUUAAACAGUACGUGAAAUUGUCAAAAGGGAAGCGUUUGACACCAGUGUUGUUUUUCUGAAAAUCAAUUAAAGAACUGUUUAUGCUAAGCUGUUUAGACUUUAUCAGCUAUCUGUUUAGUUUUGAGCUUUUCUUUAAUGCACUUUUCAGUUAACAAGUCAACAUCAAUUUCUUUUGCUGUAAAAAAGCUUGAGGAAGGUGGCCUGAGAUUCGUCUUAAGUGUUUAUAGCCUCUUGCCUAUGCAGUCGGAGAGAUUGAGGUCUGCAGCGUAGAUCCUUCGGGGCUAAAUGCAUUUGUGCUAAGUUAUAGCAUUUUAUAGACAACUUGUUGACUAUGAUUUGUCUUGUAGCUUACUCGCUUAUGUUAUUUUACCUACGCUUAGGAUGUUGACGAGACUGUCGAUCUCAUCUAUACAUGACUCUGUGCAUAUCAAUAAGCGGAGGAAAAGAGGGCUAUUACCUACGCUUAGGAUGUUGACGAGACUGUCGAUCUC